rnacentral:rRNA from 1 species
UAAGGAAUAUUGGUCAAUGGAGGCAACUCUGAACCAGCCAUGCCGCGUGCAGGAUGAAGGCCCUAUGGGUCGUAAACUGCUUUUACACAAGAGAAAACCCGAGUACGUGUACUCGGUUGAUAGUAUUGUGAGAAUAAGCAUCGGCUAACUUCGUGCCAGCAGCCGCGGUAAGACGAAGGAUGCAAGCGUUAUCCGGAUUCAUUGGGUUUAAAGGGUGCGUAGGCGGACCAGUAAGUCAGUGGUGAAAUCUCUUUGCUUAACAAAGAAACUGCCAUUGAUACUGCUAGUCUAGAGUAUAGAUGACGUUGGCGGAAUAUGACAUGUAGUGGUGAAAUACUUAGAUAUGUCAUAGAACACCGAUUGCGAAGGCAGCUAACGAAACUAUAACUGACGCUGAGGCACGAAAGUGCGGGGAUCAAACA